rnacentral:lncRNA from 1 species
UUUUGUGUGAUAAGAGACACAAUAAAGAUGGGUCCCCUAACACAAUUGUUGGUGGUCAGAGAAGACAUUUUAGGAGAAAUAAUGUCAGAUCUAGGUGUACAUGAAGAAGUAGGAAUGCAUCAGACAAAAUGGAGUGCAGUAGUGAGUAGGGGAAGAUGUAAUAUGAAGAAAAACAGUGAUCAUGACGUGCACCUGAGUCCCCUCCCUUAUAACACAGUGAUUUCCACUGGAGGACCAUCACAUACUAUGUCUCUCCCCCACUGUCGUAUUAUUGGCAGAACAGGACUCUCUAGGUCCCAUUCUCCCACUGAGAAGCUGGAAGAAUCACAUCCUCCCUUAGCAGCCCUCAGUACAACCAAGGCUGAUGUUUCCGAUUCAUGUGGUUUCUCCUGGAAACUUGGUCUUCAAAACUUGGAGAUCACAUCUGUGGACUUUAUUAUGGAAUAGUUUGAUCCCAGGAAAUUUUUUUAUGUCUGCUUUGGCAGUGGAUCUAGGAGGAAUGUGAGGUGGGUACAAAGAGGAAAGGGCAGAUGCCCAAGUGUUGCUGUGGACUCCUUCUGAGGGGAGGAGCAUGGUGGGGACAAGAGGUGCAGAGUCUCACCACACAGACCCCAGGGAGUCGGGUGAAAGUGGGCCAGAGAUGAGCAGCUCACAGACUCCUUUAUUUCAAUUGGUGCAGCAGCUUAUAUAGCCGAGGCAGCCAAUCUGAUCAAGGGGCAGUUUAUGCUGUAACCAAUCACUGCCUGUUGCCAGGCAGCCUCUGUUGCCAGGUGGGUUCUGAAGCCAUUUCCUGAGUAACUGACGCUCACUUGCCAACGCCAUGUUGGCACGGCCUUCUCAUUCCACCACUCCCAAGAUCAUUUUAAAGUAAGGCAAUAUGGCCAUCAAUGAGGGGUGUGCUUUCACUUCUCUUCCUCUUUGGGCUUCCCACCAUUCAGUUAAUAACACACUGAUCGCUUUGAACAGUAUCUGUCAUUUAUGUCACUCCCUAAAUCAAGGACUUCUGGAAGACAUGACCUGGGUUUCAUUCACUUUCCUACUUCCAGGAGCCUCAUACAGAGCCUGUAAAUAGGUACAAUUGAUUUUCACAAACUCCUCAUUCUGCUCCCUCCCCUUUCAGGAAGGUCUUUGCCCAUUCAAACUUGCUGACAGGGAAAGGGGAGGCAGUGUAUACAGGGAUUUGUCUUUCUAUUCCUGCCUCUCCCUGCCCCUCCUGAAAAAGAGUCUAGGGCUCAGCAAGGCCUCUGGAACUUACUAACAUGAGGGACUUAAUAACUGAUAAUGGUGCGCUUGUUAUUAGACAAACUUUUUGUUGAUAGUGUAGGGCUCUCACUUGAUAUUUAUUUUCUCCUCUUCUGGUUCUCUCCAUUUCCUCUUUCCUUGAAAUCUCCUCUCUUCUGGGGCCGGUGCUGUGGUGCAGCGGGUUACCACCCUGGCCUGAAGUGCUGGCAUCCCAUACUACUGGUUUGAGACCCAGCUGCUCCACUUCCCAUCCAGCUCUCUGCUUUGGCCUUGGAAAGCAGUAGAAGAUGGCCAUAGUCCUUGGGCCCCUGCACCCAUGAGGGAGACCCAGAAGAAGCUCCUGGCUCCUGGCUCCUGGCUUCAGAUUGGCGCAGCUCCGGCCAUUGUGACCAUCUGGGGAGUGAACCAGCGGAAGGAAGACCUCUCCCUCUCUGCCUCUCCUUCUCUUUCUGUAUAAUUCCAACUUUCAAAUAAAUAAAUAAAUCUCUUUUUAAAAAAAAUCUCC